UACAGAGGGGGCAAGCGUUGUUCGGAAUUACUGGGCGUAAAGGGCGCGUAGGCGGCCUUCUAAGUCGAACGUGAAAUCCCCGGGCUCAACCCGGGAACUGCGUCCGAUACUGGAAGGCUUGAAUCCGGGAGAGGGAUGCGGAAUUCCAGGUGUAGCGGUGAAAUGCGUAGAUAUCUGGAGGAACACCGGUGGCGAAGGCGGCAUCCUGGACCGGCAUUGACGCGUGAGGCGCGAAAGCUAGGGGAGCAAACGGGAUU
rnacentral:rRNA from 1 species